rnacentral:misc_RNA from 1 species
GAUGAAGAACGUAGCGAAAUGCGAUAAGUAAUGCGAAUUGCAGAAUCCGUGAGUCAUCGAAUCUUUGAACGCACAUUGCGCCCCUUGGUUAUUCCGAAGGGCAUGCCUGUUCGAGCGUCAUUAUCACCCCUCAAGCCCCGGCUUGGUGUUGGGCCCUGCCCGCUGCGGCCGGCCCUAAAGACAGUGGCGGUGCCGCCUGGCCCUGAGCGUAGUACAUCUCUCGCUCCAGUGCCCGGUGGUAGCCUGCCAGAACCCCAACUCUCGUGGUUGACCUCGGAUCAGGUAGGGAUACCCGCUGAACUUAAGCAUAUCAGCGGAGGA